GAUGAACGCUGGCGGCGUGCCUAAUACAUGCAAGUCGAGCGAACAGACGAGGAGCUUGCUCCUCUGACGUUAGCGGCGGACGGGUGAGUAGCACGUGGAUAACCUACCUAUAAGACUGGGAUAACUUCGGGAAACCGGAGCUAAUACCGGAUAAUAUAUUGAACCGCAUGGUUCAAUAGUGAAAGACGGUUUUGCUGUCACUUAUAGAUGGAUCCGCGCCGCAUUAGCUAGUUGGUAAGGUAACGGCUUACCAAGGCGACGAUGCGUAGCCGACCUGAGAGGGUGAUCGGCCACACUGGAACUGAGACACGGUCCAGACUCCUACGGGAGGCAGCAGUAGGGAAUCUUCCGCAAUGGGCGAAAGCCUGACGGAGCAACGCCGCGUGAGUGAUGAAGGUCUUCGGAUCGUAAAACUCUGUUAUUAGGGAAGAACAAAUGUGUAAGUAACUAUGCACGUCUUGACGGUACCUAAUCAGAAAGCCACGGCUAACUACGCG
rnacentral:rRNA from 1 species